GGUUGUAUGGUCCAACGGUUAUGACGUCAGAUUCUGACUCUGCCUGAAAAUUCAGGUGCCUUACUCGUCAUUCAUUCUGAAGACCCGCGUUCGACUCGCGGUACGACCU